AACUUUCUAUUUUGCUUUUAUUGACGUAUAGUUGAUUUACAAUAUUGUGUUAGUUUUAGGGAUCCAGCAGUGACUCUGUUUUAUAUAUACACACACAAACAUACAUGUAUAAUUUUCAGAUUAUUUUCCCUUACAGGUUAUUACAAGAUAGUGAAUAUAACCCCCUGUGCUGUACAGUAGGUCCUUGUCCUUUAUCUGUUUUACGAAAAGUAGUGUGUGCCUGCCAGUCCCCAAUUCUCCAUCUAGCCCUCCCCUGCCCCCUCCCGCUUGGCAACCCUAAGUUUGCCCUUGAAAUCUAAGAGUCUAUCUCUGAUCUCAAACAAGUUCAUCUGCAUCAUCCUUCAAGAUUCCACACACACAGGAGUUCCUGCUGGGGCACAACAGCAUUGGCGGCAUCUCUGCAGCACCAGGACACAGGUUCGAUCCCUGGCCCAGCGCAGCGGGUUAAAGGUUCUGAGGUUGCUGCAGCUGCAGCAUGGGUCACAACUGUGGCUUGGAUCUGAUCCCUGAUCCAGGAACCCAUAUGCUGUGGGGCAGCCAAAAAAAAAAAAAAAAAAAAAGACGAAAGAUUCCACACACUGAUGCCACAUGAGAUCUGUCUUUCUCCGUCCGACCCACUCCACCUCCUUCUCUUCCAUGGCCGAGCAGCCCUCGACUGCAGUUACAUACACCGCGUCUUCUCCAUCCACCUCUCUGCCAAUGGACACCUAGGGUGCCCCCGCACCUUGGCUACUACAGUGCUUCUAUAAACACUGGGGUGCACACAUCCCUUCAAACUAGAGUUUUGGUCUUUUCUAGAUAGAAGCCUAGGAGUGGGACUGCUGGACCACAGCUCUACCUCCGGGUUUUAAGGAUGCUCCACACUGUUCUGCGCAUGGCUUCACUGCAGCCUGGUGUCCGUGCAUGUUGGCAUCAUUACAUGUUGGGAAAGUGGACCCAGUUCAGCCCAGUAGCUCGCUCAGCAGACAAGUUCUCCUUCUGCCCUUUCAGUACCGCCUGUAGACGGGGGAUUCGUGGCUUUCCUUCUCUCUGUUUCUUCAAGGCUGGCCUUCUGGGUCUUUGGCCAGUCCUCUGGGUACCGGCACAUUAUCAAAUAUGUGAUUGACAAGGAUUUCCUGUCUGUGGCACGUCUUUCAUUUUUCUUGACAAUGCCUUUUGAAGAGGACAAGUUUUUUUUUGUUGUUGUUGUUGUUUUUUCUUUUUACGGAUGCACCUGCGACAUAUGGAAGUUCCCGGGCUAGGAGUCAAAUCUGAGCCUCAUCUGCAAACUAUGCCACAAUUUGCAGCAAUGCUGGAUCCUUAACCCACUGAGAGAGGCCAGGGAUGGAACCUGCAUCCUCAUGACACUAUAUCAGGUUCUUAACCGCUGAGCCAGGAGGGAAACCCUGGUUUUUUUUGUUUUUGUUUUUGUUUUUGUUUUUUUGGCUUUGUCUUGUUUUGUUGUUGUUGUUGUUUUUAAUGGCCGCACCUGUGAUGUAUAGAAGAUAUGGCAGUUCCCAGGUCAGGGAUCGAACCUGAGCUGCACCUGUGACUUGCGCCACAGCUUUGGCAACGCCAGAUCCUUAACCCACUGCAUCAGGCCGGGACCAAAUCAGCACCUCACGACGACCUGAGUUGCUGCAGAGAUGGCAUCGAAUCCUUAGCCUGCUGGACCACAGUGGGAACUCCAAAGAGGACCAGGUUUAAUGUCGAUGAGGUCCGACGUGUCCAUUUUUUUCCUUUUAUGGUUCACAUGUGUCAAAUCUAUGAAAUCUUUGCCGAACUCAAGCCAGGGUCACAAAGAUUUUCUUCUUGUCUUCUUCUAAGCGUUCUAUAGUACUAGGUUUUACAUUCAGGUCAAUGAUCAGUUUGAGCUAAUUUUUGAAUAUCGUGCAAGGUAUAGAUCAAGGCAGUGUUUUGCUUUGGGGUUUUGGGAUUUUGUUUGUGGUUUUUUGCACAUGAGUAUCCAGUUGCUCCAGCACAUUUGCUGAAAAGAUGAGCCCCAUGAAGGUCUUCGUAGCAGACCUCUGGGAUUCACCACCCUGCAAUCAGCCUUCCCCACACCCAGAGAGGGGUUUUCCAGCAAGUUCCAGAGGGCAGGUUUCCUCCAAUUCUGCAGACACCACAGUGGCUUCUCUGCCAUCCUGUGAGCCACAGCUGUACCCUCCCAACAGGAUCUCAGCCUGGGAGUGGGACUCCAGCUCAGCCCCACAGGGUACACCUUGUGUCUGCUCUUCAUGCCAACCCCCUGGUCCAGUCAGUAAUUCUUACAGUAAAAUUUCCUAGUUCAAACUGCCAUGUGUGCUCUUGGAUUGGAGGAAUUAAUAUUGUUAAAAUGGCCACAUCACCCAAAGUAAUCUACAGGUUUAAUGCAAUCCCCCUAUCGAGUUACCCAAGAUACUUCAUGGAACUAGAACAAAUAAUCCUGAAAUGGAAGCAUAAAAGACCCCAAAGUGCCAAAGCACAUCCACAGGAAAAAGGACAAAAGCUGGCAGCAUAACCUCCCAGACUUCAGCCAAUACUACAAAGCUACAGUAAACAAAAUAGCAUGGUAUUGGCAUAAAAACAAAUGUGGGAGUUCCCUUUGUGGCUCAACAGAAACGAAUCUGACUAGGAACCAUAAGGCUGUGGGUUCGAUCCCUGACCUCGCUCAGCGGGUUAAGGCUCUGACAUUGCUGUGACCUGUGGUGCAGGUCAAAGAGGCAGCAGAUCCGGCCUUGCCGUGGCUGUGAUAUAGACCAGCAGCUGUAGCUCUGAUUUGACCCCUAGCCUGGGAACCUCCAUAUGCCGCAGCUGCCUGCUAAGGUGUGUGGUCCAGGAGGAGGGGAUGAAGGAGAGAGCAGUCUUCUAAGUGAGCUGUGGAGAAGGCCAUUGCGAGGCUCUGCGUCGCCAGUGGCUGUGGGCUCUGGGGUGCAAGGAAGGGCCUCUGGCACCUUGACCCCUGCCCACUGUGGAGUGGAGAUUGUGAUGAAGAAGCAUCAGGCCAGCCUGCCAAUGAAGCGGAACACGUGACACCACUUAGUGCUGGGAGCCCGGGUGGUGGGGCUGGAGUCCACUGUUGGGCUUGGAAGAGUGGCAUCUUGACCUGGAGGGGUGUCAGCCUCACGGGGCAAGGCACGGCCGCAGCACUGAGAGGGUCCAAGUCUGAUGGAGUCUGCAUGCCAGGCUCGGGAUCAAACUCUGUGCAAAGGGCCCCCGAGCCUGACUGUGAGAGGAAUCCUGCCCAUCAGUGGGGCAGAAGUCCCAUCCGGCAUGCAGUGGUCAGUGCUCCAUCAGAAAUACCAAGUCCAUUCCGUGUGCCCCUCUGUCAUGCUGGGCAUCACCGUGGCAAUGCUGGGAUGGGUCCAGGUGGAGCCUGGGAGGGGAAGAUGGUGGACUCUGGUCCCAAAGAACCAACUUACCAGGUGUUGGAACUCAAGCUUCUUCUCCACUAAAAAGGGAUGGGGUGUGGUUGGUUGCCCCAAUCGUUGCUGCGGGAAUCCUUUGUUUUUGCAGCUGUCCCCGUAGGUGUCUAAGGUGGUGAUGUUCCUGUGAAGCUCUAACAAGACAACUGUUGUUUCCUGUUCUGCAACUUUUUAUCUCAAGGUGAAAGGGGAAAGUGUUACACCCUUAAAGGUAGGAGCCUUGAGAAUGAGCCCUCCUGUAUAUUUCAGGCUGUUGGCAACAUUCCUUUCUUGAUUAAUUUGUAGCCAAAGCAAUAGGCUACAAGGUUAAAGUAAAAGAAACAGAUCCAAUGUGGAUUCAGAUCUGUUCUUCCUUACUCUAUCAGGACCCCAAAGAGGGGUGUCUUUAAUGUGUAAUUUUCCAAGUGGCAGGCUGCCUUGGUUCCCUAUGGGUGCUGUAAAGAAAAGGUGCAGACUCCGUGGCUUUAGACAAAAGAGAUCUAUGCUCCAGCUCUGGAGGCCAGAAGUCCGAAAGCCAGGUGUCAGCAGGGCAGCACCCCCUCCGAAGUGGCUCCAGGGGUGAGAGCUUCCCUGACCCUCCCAGCCUCUGGUUGCCGGCUAUCCUUGGGCUUCCUUGGCUUGCCGUGUGACACUCCGAACUCUGCCUCUGUCAGCACGUGCCCCAUCCCCGUCUCCUUCCUCUGGUUUUGUGUCUUCAAACACCCUCUUUGCAAAGCGGCCGCAUUUGAAGCUCUGGGUGAAUGUGAACCUCGGGGUCACCAUCCAACCCCAUACACAGACCCAACAGCUCCCUCCUCGGAAACAGCCCAAGAGUCAGUGAACAUACAGCAGGUUUUAUCAAGGGACCGUAAAAUAGAAAUAGAAGUGUGUUUAUCUCUCACGUAGCCCGCGGAGGGUCGGCAUCCGAGGGCGAUCGGAGACCCCCUUGGAGACGUUCUCUGGGCGCACGUCUCGGGAUGUGGUUUCUGUCUUGCAGUCCCAAACGGCUGCUCCGGCUCCAAACAUCACCUCCACUCUCCCCCAAGAAGGAAGAGCAAAAGGGACCCGAAGAGCAUGACUUUCCCUUUAAAGAGAGGACCUAGAGCAGCUUACCUCUUCUGCUCACACCCCAUUGGCCGGAUCUCAGUCGCAUGCUCUUGCUGCAAAGCGUGCUGGGAAAUGUAGUCUUUUUCUGCACCAAGCGACCCCAGAGGUCUGGAACUUGUCAGUCUCGGGCACAAGCAUGUCGUGAGGAAAAUGGGGAAAAGGAGACCUGGGCCCUGGGCAGAUGGCCUUCCAGGCACAGCUCAUCCCACGGCUCCAGACCCC
rnacentral:lncRNA from 1 species